CUGCGAUCGGCAUUGGCUGCUGCAUGCAGCCGGGCGGUGUGGGAACUUGGGUGUUGGGCGUUUGAUGUCGGACUUGCUCUCAUAUUAUUAUUUGACUGCUCAGCCGCUGUGGUGUGGCUGUGGUCUGUGGCCUGUGGCCUUGGAUGAUUAUCCUGGGGCUCUAUGUCAGUUCCCUCGUAUGUAUCUGAUACAUCUUGGACAUCGUUGCCAGCUUCCAUUGUGGUUGCCCAGCACUGAUUGGCCUGAGGAAGUUAUGCUUACUUUAAAUGCUCCCUCUAUCACUUGGCAGCUGAUUGGAUGGUUACUCGUUAAAAGGCUGAGUUUAAAAAAAAAAAAAAAAAAAAAAAACCAACUACAAACGGCUUUUCGUAAUGCAUUCCAAAUUCAGAACCCAAUUCAACACAGACAACCCAACUUGCAUACCUUGUCAAUCUUAGCCCUCCUUCAAUUCUGAAGGGUGCUGAUGCAAAGUACCAAGGAUUGCUAUGGAUGCAUAGAACAGCUUCACUUGCAUUAACAUUAAAUUCCGGUAUCAACUAACUAUUACUAUUACUGUGAUUGUGAUUGUUAAGCAGAGUUAACAUGGAUGAAAUAACUUCUCUCCCUUGUAGUUUCAACGUGUUUGUCUCGGAUAUGCCUUGAUUUCCAUUUACUCCCCUUCCUUUCUCGUGUGCCAUUUUUACCAGGUCUUCCUUUGGUACAGUGAUUUAAAAGCAAAACGCAGCGGGAUAAGAUGAAUAGAUAAGAAAACGCUGCUAUCUCCUUUCCCUUUUUUGUUUUAUCGUUCGCUCAGAGAGAUGGGAAGGAAAGAGGAAAGAAAUUGGAGGCUAUGCAUUGCAACAACAGUCCGCCAAAUCCCAGCCCCCUAUCCUGAAGACAAGAUUUCAUCCCUCAUCAACAUUUGGUGAUGUAAAGGCCAAUUCUAGGGCAGUAACCUUCAAUUAGUCCAUCUCUGUUCACACACAAAAAGAACUACCACGAAAUAUGACAAGCUUUGCUGGAAAGAGGGAAACGUUGUUAAGAUGAAAAUCAAGGAA
rnacentral:sRNA from 1 species